rnacentral:misc_RNA from 1 species
CUGAGGUCAUCGCUUCUUCGGAGGUGUUACCCGUCCUUAUGUCAUACGCACGGGCCGCCGGGGCUCGCGGGCAACCUCCGCAAGGGGGGAGCACGCGUGCCCUGGGUUGCGGCGCGAGUACAGCAUUUCCGCCGAGGUGGCGCGGCUCUCGAGCGAUCGAGGGGUGCGUCCGCGGCGGGCCCAACAUCUUACAACUCUUGCGAAAACAUGAAGUCUGAAGACCAAAAGAAAAUGAAAAGCA